UACAGAGGUCUCGAGCGUUAGGCGGAAUCACUGGGCUUAAAGCGUGUGUAGGCGGAUCGUUAAGUGCCUUGUGAAAUUCCACGGCUUAACCGUGGAACUGCUUGGCAUACUGGCGAUCUUGAGCAACCUAGGGGCGAGCGGAACAAAUGGUGGAGCGGUGAAAUGCGUAGAUAUCAUUUGGAACGCCAAUGGUGAAAACAGCUCGCUGGGGGUUUGCUGACGCUGAGACACGAAAGCCAGGGGAGCAAACGGG
rnacentral:rRNA from 1 species